ACUCAAAUGAAUUGACGGGGACCCGCACAAGCAGAGGAUGAUGUGGUUUAAUUCGAAGAUACGCGAAGAACCUUACCAAGGUUUGACAUCCUAGGAAGGCGCUGGAAACAGUGCCGUGCCUUCGGGAACCUAGUGACAGAUGUUGCAUGGCCGUCGUCAGCUCGUGUCGUGAGAUGUUGGGUUAAGUCCCGCAACGAGCGCAACCCUUAUCGUAUGUUGUAUUUUUCAUACGAGACUGCCCGGGCCAACCGGGAGGAAGGCGAGGAUGACGUCAGGUCAGCAUGGCUCUUACACCUUGGGCUACACACGUCAUACAAUGGCCGGCACAACGCGUUGCCAAAUCGUGAGAUGGAGCUAAUCGCACCAAAACCGGUCCCAGUUCGGAUUGUAGGCUGCAACUCGCCUGCAUGAAGUUGGAUUUGCUAGUAAACGUGGGUCAGCAUACCAUGUUGAAUACGUUCCCGGGUCUUGCACACACCGCCCGU
rnacentral:rRNA from 1 species